rnacentral:rRNA from 1 species
UACGUAGGGUGCAAGCGUUGUCCGGAAUUAUUGGGCGUAAAGAGCUCGUAGGCGGUUUGUCGCGUCUGCUGUGAAAACUCGGGGCUUAACUCCGGGCCUGCAGUGGGUACGGGCAGACUAGAGUGCGGUAGGGGAGACUGGAAUUCCUGGUGUAGCGGUGAAAUGCGCAGAUAUCAGGAGGAACACCGGUGGCGAAGGCGGAUCUCUGGGACGGUACUGACGCUGAGACGCGAAAGCGUGGGGAGCGAACAGG